rnacentral:rRNA from 1 species
GACGAACGCUGGCGGCGUGCUUAACACAUGCAAGUCGAACGAAGUGGCGAACGGGUGAGUAAUACGUGGGUAACCUGCCCUCCUUUUUGGGAUAAGCCUUGGAAACGGGGUCUAAUACCGAAUAUCGUGGGAUGGGCUCGCGGCCUAUCAGCUGGUUGGUGGGGUGCUGGCCUACCAAGGCGGUGACGGGUAGCCGGCCUGAGAGGGUGACCGGCGACAUUGGGACGGAGAGACGGCCCAGAGUCGUACGGGAGGCAGAAGUUGGGGAUAUUGCACAAUGGGGGAAAGCCUGAUGCAGCGACGCCGCGUGGGGGAUGAAGGCUUUCGGGUUGUAAACCUCUUUCGAUCUCGAACGGGUAGGUGGAGAAGAAGCGCCGGCUAACUACGUGCCAGCAGCCGCGGUAAUUC